rnacentral:rRNA from 1 species
CCUACGGGCGGCAGCAGUGGGGAAUAUUGGACAAUGGGGGCAACCCUGAUCCAGCCAUGCCGCGUGUGUGAAGAAGGCCCUCGGGUUGUAAAGCACUUUCAGUGAGGAAGAACGCCUGGUGGUUAAUACCCAUCAGGAAAGACAUCACUCACAGAAGAAGCACCGGCUAACUCCGUGCCAGCAGCCGCGGUAAUACGGAGGGUGCGAGCGUUAAUCGGAAUUACUGGGCGUAAAGCGCGCGUAGGUGGCUUGAUAAGCCGGUUGUGAAAGCCCCGGGCUCAACCUGGGAACGGCAUCCGGAACUGUCAAGCUAGAGUGCAGGAGAGGAAGGUAGAAUUCCCGGUGUAGCGGUGAAAUGCGUAGAGAUCGGGAGGAAUACCAGUGGCGAAGGCGGCCUUCUGGACUGACACUGACACUGAGGUGCGAAAGCGUGGGUAGCAAACAGGAUUAGAUACCCCUGUAGUC